AUGCAGGGGCCGUUGAGCUGGCCUGACGGGAGCUUGGUGUGGCCCACAGCAUGGGCAAGUCCAGGAGAGGAGCCACUGGGCCUCAGCCAGGGCCACCCCCUGCUCCCCUCCCCUCCUCACUCCUCCCUCUCCUCCUCCUCAUUACUCCUCCCCCUCCUCCUCCUUCUUACUCCUCAUCCUCCUUACUCCUCCCUCUCCUCCUCUCCCCUCUCCUCCUCACUCCUCCCUCUCCUCCUCCUCAUUACUCCUCCCCGUCCUCCUCACCCCUCCCCCUCCUCCUCCUUCUUACUCCUCAUCCUCCUUACUCUUCCCUCUCCUUCUCUCCCCUCCCCUCCUCACUCCUCCCUCUCCUCCCUCUCUCCUCCCCUUCCUCCUCCUCCUUUCUCUCACCCCUCUACCCCUCCUCUAUUCAGAGGACACAGAGCCUUCAGCCCUGCCCUGCAGACACAGAGGCCAGGUCAGAGGUCAGCAGACGGCUAUUUGACCUCCUUGGUAAUAAUGGGUAGGGGUCUGUUGGGGCAGGGAUGGUGGGUACAGGCAGGGAGAGCUGCCUCCUCCCUACCACCACCACUUCCACCCCCAGGGGCCAGGCACCUAGAGUUAUUUCACCUGCCUCUGAGUCUUACUGGGACCCAGGCCUUUGGCCGACCAGAGGGCCCAGUGACAGCCAGGGAUCACGGGCUCAUCAGCUUACGACACAACAAGGGACACCAGUCCCCUGCGCAGGCCGCCCAGCCUUUGUCCAUCAGCCUGCCCCUCCUACCCGGUCAUUUGAAAUUUAUAGUCGCCACCCACGGAAAGGUAAAAGGAGGUAGGUGAGAUUCAUUGGACUACAUAUUUCAUUUUAACCCAACAUCUCUAAAAUGUUAUGCUUCAACAUGGCACGUGUAUGUAAUGUGUAACAUGUAUCAGCAUGUUCUCACACAUUCUCUUGUUCACACUAGGUCUCUGGAACCCAGUAUGUGCUUUGCCCGUUGAGCAUGGCUUUGCUGGCCUCAUUUCAAGUGCUCAGGAGCCACACCUCGUGGGGAGUGGCCACGAACGGGGACCAGGGGCCCAGAAGCCUGAGGAGCCUCCCGCCACGUGCCCGAGGCACAGGAUGUUGUCUGGGCACUUGCUGCCGCACAGAGGCUGCAGGCUCCAAGGGGGCUCUCCUGACUGUCCCCCAAAUGUCACAUCAACGUUUGGGGGACACUGGGAAGGGCGCCAGGAGCGCCCCCGGCCUGCCUCCCUGCCACCUUCUGCACUUUACCUGCUGGUGGGCCUGGGCCCUGAACCUGAGACGUGCCCUCCUGCCAGGAAGAGGGGCACUCCGCUGCCUCAGUUUCUCCGUUUCUUUUCAGCCGCUGAUGCCCAGCAGCGGGGACAGUGCCCUGGCUGUCGUGGUAGUUUGGGCUACUGUAACAGAACGCCACAGGCUGGGCAAUUUACAAAUAACAGAAACUUACUUCUCACAGUUCUGGGGGCUGGAAGUCCGAGAUCAGGGCGCCAGCAGGGUUUGGAUCUGGGGAGAGCCCUCUGUCAGGUGUAGACGGCAGACUUCUCACUGCGUACUCACCCAGUGGAGGGGGUGAGGGGCUCUCUGGGGUCCCUUUCAUAAGGGCACCAAUGCCUUUCCUGAUGGCUCUGCCCACACGGCCUAAUCACCUCCCAAAGGCCCCACCUCCCUAACUGGGGUUUCAGCUUCAACGUACGAAUCUGGGGACACAAACAUCCAGGCUGCAGCACCGGCAUGGUGGGCGCCCCCGAUCUGGGGUGCUUUUAUCACGUGUACCAUCUUGGGGUGAGGCGGAGGUGGACAGAGCCUUCCGCUUGCCCAGGGCCCCUGUCCUUUCACUUCCCAGACCCCACUCGCCGGCCUGUCCUGGAAGGUGGGCGAUGGGUGAUUCUCCUCUCCAGAAGGAAAGUGCGAAGGAGGAUGCAGCUCCGGGGGUCUCCUGUCCUCCCCGGGCCCUGCAGCCCCCACACUGCAGGGACUCCUCACUCUGUCCAGACCCUUUGCCAAGCCCGUGAGAAGGGUCACAGAUUCAAAAGCUGUGACAGAGGGGCCAGCCCGGUGGCACAAUGGUUAAGUGCACGUGUUCCACUUCAGCGGCCCAGGGUUCGAUGGUUCAGAUCCCGGGUACAGACAUGGCACCACUUGGCAAGCCGUGCUGUGGUAGGCGUCCCACAUAUAAAGUAGAGGAAGAUGGGCACGGAUGUUAGCUCAGGGCUAAUCUUCCUCAAAAAAAUAAAAUAAAAAGACUGCGACA
rnacentral:lncRNA from 1 species